CUCCUCAGGUGAUCAUCGAUGACUCAGACGAAGACGAGGUCUCUUAUGUGAAAUCAAAGCCGACAAGGAGCACCCCUGUGACAUCACGUGGGCGGAGCUCGCAAAGUCAGAGUCAGAGAGGAGUGUGCUUUGAUGAUGAUGAUGAGGAUGAGUUUGACCCCUUUAAGAGUGGCAGUAGGCGGAGCCACAGAUAACCACGCCCUCCAGCGGUUUUCCAAUUCCAACUGCUCCGUUUGAGUUCAUGAGUGUGUGUUCAUAUUCAUGUUCAGUGUGUGUGUGUGUUCAGUUUGAGUGUGAGUGUAUGUUCAGUGUGAGUGUGUGUGUGUUCAGUG